CCGUGCGUAGCCCAGCUGGAUAGAGCGUUGGCCUCCGAAGCCAAAGGUCGUGGGUUCGAAUCCCGCCGCGCGGG
rnacentral:tRNA from 1 species